rnacentral:lncRNA from 1 species
UCGAAAGAUAUAAUCUUUGACGUUGAUGUAGUAAAUUGGACUAUAAUAAUUGUAAUACCCAAAUUUUGCCUGGCCCAAACACUAAAAAACCAAAUACAAUUACAAAUCCAAUAAAACCUGGGCCCAAUCAAUAAUAAACUAGAAUAAAAUAAAAAUAAUAGUAGUCCAGUAUUAGCCUAAAACCCAUACCCAAAUACAUAGCCCAAAUCAUUUUAAACUACCCAAAACUAACCCGAUUUGACCCAACUAUAAUGACCCAAACCACUAACCCUAAGCUUAUUACACCAAAAAAUAGAACCAAACCCUAACAACAUUCAGCCCCAGCCAGCACCGCAACCACCAGGCCCUUCUGCGCGCGUGUGCCAGCAGUUAUCGCACCUCUGCACGCGCCAUGCGCGUCUUCCUUCCAGGCUAUACCUGCAACAAACCACGAACGACACCAGCAGAGCAACAAAUAGCAGCAAAUGAAAAGAAAACACUAGAAUAGUAGUAGAAAAAAAAAAGAAAAUAGGAAAAUAGUUUCCGUAAAUUUUGCACGGCUAUAUAAAGUUGUUUUCGAAUCUGUAAAAAGGAUUACGCACAUGCAGAUUGAAUACAAAAAAAUCGAAAAAUAUUCAGAGAAAUCGAAGCAAAAAAUAUAUAUUUUUUCUUUUCUUUUCUCUUUCUUUUCUUUUCUCUUUUAUUCAUUAGUUGUGUGCUAAAUAAAAUAAAAACGAGAAGGUAGAAAGCUAGGAGUUUACCUGAUACCUGAACGUCAUUUACUCUGUCGCAAUCGGAGCCAGACGAGUGUUUGGGGUUCUAAACGGACGGUCUACAGAGCGGCGCGGAUGAUUUCUUUACUUUAGGUUUUUUAAAAAA